AUGUUGGUGAUCAAGAAGCGGUAUGUCGUCAGUGGUGGUGAUGGUCUGGGUGUGUCUCGGGAUGAGUCGAUUUGGUUCGCAUAUCACUUCGGAAGUUGGAUUAACACUAACAUUGAAGAUGUUCCAAUAGAUGUCAAAGACAAUCUGGAGAACGUGUUGGAGAAUGACCCUCCAACACAUAAUGAUGUUGAGCCAAAUGUCUCAAACAUAAAUGAAAAAUUUGAAGCUGCUCAUGUCUAG